rnacentral:rRNA from 1 species
GACGAACGCUGGCGGCGUGCUUAACACAUGCAAGUCGAGCGGUAAGGCCCUUUCGGGGGUACGACGAGCGGCGAACGGGUGAGUAACACGUGGGUGACCUGCCCUCCAGCUCUGGGAGUAAGCCCGGGAAACCGUAGGGUCGUAAUACCGGAUAUGACUCCAUGACGCAUGUUGUGGGGUGGAAAGCCUUGUGCGGCUGAGGAUGGGCCCGCGGCCUAUCAGCUUGUUGGUGAGGUGAUGGCCUACCAAGGCGACGACGGGUAGCCGGCCUGAGAGGGCGACCGGCCACACUGGGACUGAGACACGGCCCAGACUCCUACGGGAGGCAGCAGUGGGGAAUCUUGCGCAAUGGGCGAAAGCCUGACGCAGCGACGCCGCGUGAGGGAUGACGGCCU